CGCCCUGGAUGGUUUUCUUGAUGCGCAGCAGCAUCGUGGAUUUUGCCUUCCCAUCCUCAAACUUGGAAAAGUAUCCACCAGGAAUCCAACAUGACAGCAGCACAUCAAGAAUUCCAGUCACUGCUGAGGAUGGUCAGGGAUUUUGGGAUAAUAGCUGUGAGCCCACCAAGCUUCUCCCAGCUGGCCCAGGCUGGUGAGGAGGGAUUGGGAAUUCUGGGAUAACUGACCUUGGCAUUCAGUUCAUCCACGAUGAAGUGGCACAGGGCAGCUUUGAAGAAAUAUUCCUUGGCGCUGUACUUGAGCAAAGGGUUAUCCAUCGUGUUUGUUCCCACCUGGACAAACAAAACAAAACCAUGGAAAAAAGGGGCAGGAAAGGAAAGCCUGGGUUCAACCAAUUCAAAUUCCACAGGGCUGGGAAUAAAAGGCGUGGAAAAAA